AUCAUUAUUGUGUUUCUGGGAAUUUCUACACUUGCUAUUUUCCUCUGGAAAACUAGCCUUUGUGUGUCUUUCCUCAAGACUGUCUUAAAGUCACAAAAUGUACAUGACGGAUCCACGGAUGUACAGCGGAAAGCCUGGAGGUCCAAUAGCCGUAGCCAGGAAG
rnacentral:sRNA from 1 species